rnacentral:rRNA from 1 species
CGCGUAGGUGGUAGUGCAAGUCUGAGGUGGAAUCCCAGGGCUUAACCCUGGAACUGCCUUGGAAACUGCACUACUUGAGUCAGUGAGGGGAGGGUAGAAUUCCUGGUGUAGCGAUGAAAUGCGUAGAUAUCAGGAGGAAGGCCGGUGGCGAAGGCGGCCCUCUGGCGCUGAACUGACACUGAGGCGCGAAAGCGUGGGUAGCAAACAGGAUUAGAUACCCUGGUAGUCCACGCCCUAAACGGUGGGUACUAGGUGUAGGGCUCGUAAGGGUUCUGUGCCGAAGCGAAAGCAUUAAGUACCCCGCCUGGGGAGUACGGCCGCAAGGUUGAA